GGUGAACGCUGGCGGCGUGCCUAACACAUGCAAGUCGAACGGAAAGACACUGAGCUUGUGCUUUUCCCGAUGGCGGGAGGCGGGCGGGUGACGCGUGUAUCGGACCCUUCUUUUUCGUGGAGGAUCACGAAAGGACGGUUAAGAUACUAUAGCAUAUGAUGUACCGCGGAGAGCAGUGGAAAUUCACGGCUUUCGCGAUUGAACUAGCGGCUGUCGGGUUAGCUUGUUGGCUGGGUAAAGGCCCAGCAAGGCGACGAUCCGUAGCUGGUCUGAGAGGAUGAUCGGCCACACUGGAACUGAGACACGGUCCAGACUCCUACGGGAGGCAGCAGUGGGGAAUAUUGGGCAAUGGGCGCAAGCCUGAUCCAGCCAUACCGCGUGGGUGAAGAAGGCCUUCGGGUUGUAAAGCCCUUUUGUUGGGAAAGAAAAGCUGCAGGUUAAUACCCCGCUGUUCUGACGGUACCCAAUGAAUAAGCACCGGCUAACUACGUG
rnacentral:rRNA from 1 species